UUUUCAACUACCUCCCUUGAUUCUCUUCUAUAAAUGGAGAGUCCUUUCAAUGAAUCAAAAGAAAAAAAUAUGGCCUGCUCCAGUCUUCCUCUUACUCUUCUUUGCCUCGUUGUAUCUGGAGUGCUCUUGUUUGGAGCGAUCAACAGCGGUGCUGAAACCAAGAUAUGCCCACAGAUUUGUUAUAGGUCCAAGUAUAUGAUGUGCAAAUCUUCAGGGAAUGUGAGGCUCACUCCCACGUGCAACUGCUGCAUGGCUCCAAGCGGCUGCACCAUUUAUCUCGCGGACGGGACUGUUCUUUGCUCUUCUUAGAACCAUUUGGUUCUUGGUUCAGUUGGUAUGUGUGUAGCCAGCUGCUUUGGGUACAGAAUAAUAUUAUAACUCAAAUUCCCUUCAUAGAAAGCUUGAGACUUUGAACUUUGAUGUAUUGAAUUGAAGUUUGUGUUUUAGAAAAUCCUGGAUUUUAAUGAAAAGUAGCUAAGGUGUUUUUAUUU